rnacentral:rRNA from 1 species
AGUGCCGUAGUUAACACAAUAAGCACUCCGCCUGGGGAGUACGGUCGCAAGACUGAAACUCAAAGGAAUUGACGGGGGCCCGCACAAGCGGUGGAGUAUGUGGUUUAAUUCGACGCAACGCGAAGAACCUUACCAGGGCUUGACAUCCUCUGAAAGCCAUAGAGAUAUGGACCUUACCCUUCGGGGUAACAGAGAGACAGGUGGUGCAUGGUUGUCGUCAGCUCGUGUCGUGAGAUGUUGGGUUAAGUCCCGCAACGAGCGCAACCCCUAACAUUAGUUGCCAGCGAGUAAGGUCGGGAACUCUAAUGUGACUGCCGUUGACAAAACGGAGGAAGGUGGGGAUGACGUCAAAUCAUCAUGCCCCUUAUGUCCUGGGCUACACACGUACUACAAUGGCCGGUACAGACGGAAGCGAAGCCGUGAGGCGGAGCAAAACUGAGAAAGCCGGUCCCAGUUCGGAUUGUAGUCUGCAACUCGACUACAUGAAGUCGGAAUCGCUAGUAAUCGCAGGUCAGCAUACUGCGGUGAAUACGUUCCCGGGCCUUGUACACACCGCCCGUCACACCACGAAAGCUGACAACACCCGAAGCCGGUGAGCUAACCGAAAGGAGGCAGCCGUCGAAGGUGGGGUUGGUGAUUUGGGGUGAAGUCGUAACAAGG